GGGCGUAAAAGUGUGCGUAGGCGGGGUCUUUAAGUCAGAGGUGAAAAUCCUGGAGCUCAACUCCAGAAACUGCCUUUGAUACUGAGGAUCUUGAGUUCGGGGAGGAGGUGAGUGGAACUGCGAGUGUAGAGGUGAAAUUCGUAGAUAUUCGCAAGAACACCAGUGGCGAAGGCGGCUCACUGGCCCGAUACUGACGCUGAGGCACGAAAAGCGUGGGGGAGCAAAACAGGAUUAGAUACCCUGGUAGUCCACGCCGUAAACGAUGAAUGCCAGCCGUUAGUGGGUUUACUCACUAGUGGCGCAGCUAACGCUUUAAGCAUUCCGCCUGGGGAGUACGGUCGCAAGAUUAAAAACU
rnacentral:rRNA from 1 species